rnacentral:sRNA from 1 species
UUUAAAACUCCAUUUUUAGUUGUGACUUGGAAAAAGUGACCGAUAAAAAGAUUUUAGAUCGCCAAAUUACAGGAUGUUGCUGUUGGUUCACAUCCAUCAUAUACUUUCAUGUUGGGGUUAUUGAGAUCGCCAUUGUUGGAAGAACUGCCACCGGAUGAAGGAGGACCUUUAUCUCUUACGCAUGCGCAUCGUGCUUGCGAAUUGCCGGGUUGGAAAUACUGUCUAGGGACUCCAGUCCAAUCUCUUUUUAUGCCACCACUACGAUAGAAAAUCAGAAGUAGCGGAAAAUCAAUUCAAGGAACACCAUAUACGUCUGCUGACACCAACUUUUGUUUCUGAGUUACAUGGCGGAAAUCUUUUUAAGUCUUCAUCGUCCUCCUUCUGCUUCUGUUUGGCUUGCUCCAAGAGAUUCUCAAAUUCGUCCAUCGCCGCGGUUGGAUUGCCAUUCUCGUCAUAAAAAUGCCCAACUAACUUUCCUAUUAAAUGCCAAAUGUCAAUUACAUCAAGAUUUUGUGUCUUGAAAGUAAUGAUACGAAAGCAAUGAAACUUUUUAUUCAAUAUAUUAGGGACAUUGACUGAAUUUUCGAUAAAUCGUGGUCGUUUCAG